rnacentral:rRNA from 1 species
GAUGAACGCUGGCGGCGUGUCUAAGGCAUGCAAGUCGAACGCGUACCUUCGGGUACAAGUGGCAAACGGGAGAGUAACACAUUGGUAACCUACCUCAAAGUUCGGGACAACCCAUCGAAAGAUGGGCUAAUACCGGAUGUGUUUAUACAUCUUAAGGUGUAUAAAUAAAGAUUCAUCGCUUUGAGAGGGGCCUAUGGUCUAUCAGCUUGUUGGUGAGGUAAAAGCUCACCAAGGCUACGACGGAUAUCGGGCGUGAGAGCGUGACCCGACUCACUGGGACUGAGACACUGCCCAGACUCCUACGGGAGGCUGCAGUCAAGAAUAUUCCCCAAUGGCCGAAAGGCUGAGGGAGCGACGCCGCGUGUAGGAAGAAGCUUUUCGGAGUGUAAACUACUUUUCUGUGGGAAAAAUCCAUGAUGGUACCACAGGAAUAAGGGGCUGCUAACUUCGUGCCAGCAGCAGCGGUAAUACGAGGGCCCCGAGCGUUAUCCGGAUUUAUUGGGCGUAAAGAGUUCACAGGCGGCUAGAUAAGUCUUCGGUUAAAUCCUGAUGCUUAACAUCAGA